rnacentral:rRNA from 1 species
UACGGAGGGUGCAAGCGUUAUCCGGAUUCACUGGGUUUAAAGGGUGCGUAGGCGGACAGGUAAGUCAGUGGUGAAAUCUCCGAGCUUAACUCGGAAACUGCCUUUGAUACUCUCUGUCUUGAAUAUGGUGGAGGUAAGCGGAAUAUGUCAUGUAGCGGUGAAAUGCUUAGAGAUGACAUAGAACACCUAUUGCGAAGGCAGCUUACUACGCCUAUAUUGACGCUGAGGCACGAAAUCGUGGGGAUCAAACAGG